rnacentral:lncRNA from 1 species
GAGGAACCUGAUCCUCGGUAGCGAAGGGCUGGAGGCAAACACCGAGCUCCCCCUGAGCCGCCUGGGAGCAGGGAGGGUUCUGCUACCCUGAGGGGCCCUCCCCGCGGGGCAGAGGGGUUUCCUCAGCAGUGCCCCGGAGCAGGGACCGCGCCAGCCAGCAGAAACAGCUAGUUGUUGUCUGCAGUGAAGAAUAAUUGGAAGCAUGGUGCCUGUUUCUUUUCCUAGGAGCCAAGAAUAGGACAGCUUGGGAAGGUGAGCUGCGUAUAGCUCGUCAGGCUGAGCUCAUCCUCGUCUACGGCCAAACGUUGGUUUCUCAUUUCUAGAAGAUGAAAGAUGUGAUGACUCAGGAAAAACUGGAAUCUUAGUAACUGUGGUGGGCAUUGAGCCUUGCCGUCCACAAGAGAAAGCUUGCUGCUCGAGAUGUGAGUCUUCAGAUGUUCCUGCCGCCAUAUCUGACAGCUGCUGCCAAGAUUCCCUGGUGGGAUGGACUCUUAUACCUCAACAACCAGAAGCCCAAGUAAACUCUUCUAUAAAUUGAAUGACUCAUGCUUAAAAAAAAAAACAAAAAACAAACUA